GACGACGCUGGCGGCGUGCUUAACACAUGCAAGUCGAACGGAAAGGCCCUUUCGGGGGUACUCGAGUGGCGAACGGGUGAGUAACACGUGGGUGAUCUGCCCUGCACUUUGGGAUAAGCCUGGGAAACUGGGUCUAAUACCGAAUAGGACCGCAUGCUUCAUGGUGUGUGGUGGAAAGCUUUUGCGGUGUGGGAUGGGCCCGCGGCCUAUCAGCUUGUUGGUGGGGUAAUGGCCUACCAAGGCGACGACGGGUAGCCGGCCUGAGAGGGUGUCCGGCCACACUGGGACUGAGAUACGGCCCAGACUCCUACGGGAGGCAGCAGUGGGGAAUAUUGCACAAUGGGCGCAAGCCUGAUGCAGCGACGCCGCGUGGGGGAUGACGGCCUUCGGGUUGUAAACCUCUUUCAGUAUCGGCGAAGCUCCAAGGUUUUCUUUGGGGUGACGGUAGGUACAGAAGAAGCACCGGCCAACUACGUG
rnacentral:rRNA from 1 species